rnacentral:RNase_P_RNA from 1 species
UAAAUAGGUCGUGUAGUUGCGUGAUUUUUAAAAAAUUACGAGGAAAGUCCGGACUCUAUAGAGGUAUGGUGCCGGGUAACGCCCGGCGGAGUAAAUUACUUUAGGGAAAGUGCCGCAGAAAAUAAACCGCCCUGGUAUAUGUAUAUAUACAAGUAGGGUAAGGGUGAAAAGGUGUGGUAAGAGCACACCGGUAAAUUGGUAACAAGUUACGCAUGGUAAACCCCACCAAGAGCAAAAUCAAAUAGGCGUUACAGAGCUUUUAUAAGCUCCCGGGUAUCUCUAACCGGUUUGUAAUGCGGGUAGAUUGCUUGAGGUAAACGAUAACGUUUAUCCUAGAUAAAUAACUACAACGAGCUAUUUAUAGUUCGUACAGAAUCCGGCUUAUAGACCUUUAUUAU